rnacentral:rRNA from 1 species
UAAUACAGAGGUCUCGAGCGUUAAUCGGAUUCAUUGGGCUUAAAGCGUACGUAGGCGGAUGUGCAGGCAUCGUGUGAAAUCCCCUGGCUCAACCAGGGAACUGCUCGGUGAACCGCACGUCUUGAGGCAAGUAGAGGCUGUCGGAACGAUAGGUGGAGCGGUGAAAUGCGUAGAUAUCUAUCGGAACGCCGAAGGUGAAAACAGGCAGCUGGGCUUGAUCUGACGCUGAGGUACGAAAGCGUGGGGAGCGAACGGGAUUAGAUACCCCGGUAGUCCACGCCGUAAACGAUGUGCACUUGAUCAGGGUGGUUCUGACAUCUCCCGGAUCGAAGCAAAAGUGUUUAGUGCACCGCCUGGGGAGUACGGUCGCAAGGCUA